AUACCAAAUUCGUCCCUACAAUCUCGUCUUUCUCCUUCCCAUUAGUAAAAAAAAUUGUCGUCUCCUUCCAUGAGAAAAUUCAUUGUGUUAUCUUGUAAUUAGUUUGUGGAACCACUUUAAUAUCUUCGAUAACCAUCAUCAUCAUGUAUUCAGGAUCAAAUCCUUGCAAGACAGCGCCCUAUUAGGAUAGGGACGGGAUAGUUUCCCGUCUUCUCUUGAUGGAAGUUGAGGAGGUAAGGGUUGCGACACUUCUCGCCCCGCCCCACUCCACAUGCACCCUUAGUUACAAGCACAAUACUACAUUGGCAAUGCUGCAACAUUGCUGAAGCGGAAGCCUAGCAUUGUGCUAUACAUCAGUGCCACAUCCACUCAAAUUCUUUUAUUAUGCAUAAAUUAUCUAAUGUCUUAAAAUAAAUUAAAUUAAGGAAUAUGCUGUCAAAGUAGCAACGGUUGUGUAGAUUUAUAUGUUUGGGUAUAAUAAGCUGUGCAGACAAUGAUUGGCCUAAAAGGAAGUUAUUGUUUGUUAAAUAAUAUGCAUAUUUGCGAAAAUAAAAUUGUGAAGGUUAUCAAGUUUCUAUAUGAACAAUAGUCAGUCUAAAUAAAAGCUAAUACUUUCACUUGAUCUCUUAUCACAAAUAAUUAUUGCAUGUUGAGUGUCCCUUACAAGUUGUUCUUUUUGUUGAAAGACUAAAACAUCAAUGUUGUGUAGGUCUCUUACAUUGAGGCCCCAAUAUUGUUUGUUUGUUUAUAUUAUAUUAUAUACUAUAUAUUAUAAGUGUAUAAAUAUGUAAUCGUGUGUUGUAGUUUUGUUUUAACCUUUAACAUGAUAUUUUGGAUUAUGAGCUUUUGUUUCAAUUUUUGUUUUCUAUUUAGGAACUACUUUCGCUCCCAUUAAUGUUUCAAACAUUAAUUUUAUUCCUAUGCUUAAUGGCACAAACUUUAAGACUUGGAAAGAUAAGAUGUUACUUUUUCUCGGGUUAAUGAAUCUUGACCUUGCUCUAUUAAAAGAACAACCUUCACCUCUCAAUAAUGAAAGUUCUUCUGAGAUUAAAGAGGAAUAUGAGAGGUGGGAGCGUUCUAAUCGGUUAAGUCUUCUAAUAAUGAAAAACAGAAUUCCAGAAGCAUACUGGAGCACUUUAUCUCAUGAGAAAAAUGCUAAGAAGUUUCUUGAGGAACUAGAGAAACUUUUUGCAACGAACGAAAAGGUGGAGAUAAGUGCACUUGUAGCUAAACUUAUGUCAAUGAAGUAUAAAGGAAGAGGACAUAUAUGGAAGUACAUUAUGGAAAUGUGUAAUGUCAUUUCCAAGCUAAAUGCACUAAAGAUAAACCUGCCUGAGGAAUUUCUCAUGCAUCUUAUACUCAUUUCACUUCCUGUCCAAUAUAAUCAAUUUAGAAUGAGAUAUUGUCAAAAGGAUAAAUGGACUUUUAAUGAGCUCGUUUAUGACUGUGUGCAAGAAGAAGAAAGAUUAAAUGCUCUAAAUAUGUCGCGUGGCGCGUGAAAAAGGUACGUAUCUCAUUUUUGGUUUUUUUUUUUUUUAAAUUUAAUGUAGCUUAUGCAAGUUCGACAUUGAAUAUAGACAAACUAGCUUAUGCUUGUGAUCUUACCAAGAGUUCUACAAAACCCAAGGUAACAAAAAUUAUAGAUACCAAAUAUGGAUAUAAAACCCUUAUUUGCAGCUGCAUCACACACUUCUUAUAGGUACUAGGGGAAGCUGAAGUUGCUCUGCUAGUUGUUCUAGAGGCUAAGCCAUGGAAUGUCACUUGAAGACCUUUGAAGCUUUUUUGGGUUGUUCUUUUAAUUCAUGUUGUUGGAGAUUGUAAUAGUCUAGCUCAUAAUUUAGCAAAUUGGGCUUGGAACUAUCAAGUUUUUGGAAACUUAUCUUAGAUCAUUGUCUAGUGCACAUACUAUUUCUAUUAAUGAAUGAACAAUCUUAUACUUGGGCUC